CGGGUAGCUAUGUUCGGAAAAGAUAACCGCUGAAAGCAUCUAAGCGGGAAACUUGCCUCAAGAUGAGAUCUCACUGGGAACUUGAUUCCCCUGAAGGGCCGUCGAAGACUACGACGUUGAUAGGCUGGGUGUGUAAGCGUUGUGAGGCGUUGAGCUAACCAGUACUAAUUGCCCGUGAGGCUUGACCAUAUAACACCCAAACA
rnacentral:rRNA from 1 species